rnacentral:rRNA from 1 species
GAGUUUGAUCAUGGCUCAGGACGAACGCUGGCGGCGUGCCUAACACAUGCAAGUCGAGCGGAGUUUAAAGUUUUCGGACGAUAAACUUAGCGGCGGACGGGUGAGUAACACGUGGGUAACCUGCCUUAUAGUGGGGGAUAGCCUUUCGAAAGGAAGAUUAAUACCGCAUAAUAUAUACAUUAGGCAUCUAGAGUAUAUCAAAGGAGCAAUCCGCUAUAAGAUGGGCCCGCGGCGCAUUAGCUAGUUGGAGGGGUAACGGCCCACCAAGGCAACGAUGCGUAGCCGACCUGAGAGGGUGAUCGGCCACAUUGGAACUGAGAUACGGUCCAGACUCCUACGGGAGGCAGCAGUGGGGAAUAUUGCACAAUGGAGGAAACUCUGAUGCAGCAACGCCGCGUGAGUGAUGAAGGUCUUCGGAUCGUAAAGCUCUUUGAUUGGGGACGAUAAUGACGGUACCCAAAGAACAAGCCACGGCUAACUACGUGCCAGCAGCCGCGGUAC